rnacentral:tRNA from 1 species
GCCGGAGUAACUCAGUUGGUAGAGUAGCUGAUUCGUAAUCAGCAAGUCGUGAGUUCAAGUCUCAUCUCCGGCU